ensembl:snoRNA SNORA73 Small nucleolar RNA SNORA73 family
UGAAUAUGGAUACCUUGGCAGGCUACUCUCCACGGGUCCUAAGUAGUUUAAGGGGAGCACACGGAUCUCCCCAAUGAUGUAGAGUCCCUUCCUACAACACUGGAGCAGAAGUUGGCCUUUGAUCUGCACCUGCAUAUUCCUCCAGCUUCUCAGUGUCCUUCAGGAAAUGAUUGAGGAGACAAACCAUGCAGGAAACAGCU